CCACCAUCUGUGCACAUCAAAGUUCAGUUCUUCUCUUCAGCAUUCUCCAGGUGAAUUAAGUUCAUUGAACAAGGUAUAAGUUACCCAAGAAAGUAGGAGUAGUGAAAGAGGUUUAUUGGUUUUGAUGAGAAAGGCAACAACUUGUUUGAGCUCGAAUGGAGAGGGGAAAUGGUGGAGCAGGGUACCAGCUACUCCAGAAAGCGGCAAACACAAGCUCAAACAGAUUAUGACAAAGGAGGAUUGAAAGAUUGGAGGCCUUAGAUAUGUAUUGUUGUGCAGGUGCUUUGACAUAUAUUAGGACCUGAUCAGUCUAUUCUAUAAACUACUAUGUCUGCAAACUAUAAUGGUACAUAUUUAAUCAUUCCCUAUUCGUCGGUAUACAUAGAAUUUGAUAUCCUACUGUCUAUUGUUUGACAAUUUGGCGAACCACCCACCCUGUAUUUCUACCAUUAUGUAUAAACACUUGCACUAAACUAGACUUUUGUGUUAGUUAUUUUAUUUG